rnacentral:lncRNA from 1 species
GUACUGUCUUAAAAAGGAAUAGUCAAAAAGCAGGAAACUAUUUGGAUUAUAUCAAGAUUGGGUGUGCUUAAAGUUGUGUAUUUGCAGGAAUCUUUCAGGAGUAAGCUGGUCUUUAGCUUAAGCACAGCAAAGUACUUAACUGCACUCUCAUUUCUAUCCCUGUUCAUGGAAGGACAAAAACACAUAUUCUACAUGACAAGUGUAUCUCUGCAAUUUUGCACAGCUACUUAAAUUUUGUUUUCCUCCCCUUUCCUCCUUGUUUUUACGUGCAAAAUAAUGUCUUAAAAAUUAGUGAAGACUAAUUAAAACUAGUGAACAUUUUAGAUGUUUUUGCUGUUUCUUCCUGAUGCAGAUAACUUCUGCAAGCAUGUCAAGAAUGAAAUAUUAUUUUGUAUUGCAUGCUGCUGUGAAUGGAGGUGGCUACUGUCUAUCUUUGAGAAGCUCCACCAUCAAAAGUGUACGGGCCAAUCAGAGAGAAAGUCCGAAGAUGUUCACCUGAAAAUGAUGGGGAGGAAAUUCUGGCACUGUGAACUACUCUGCAGUAUCAAUCACCUUAUUGUUAACAGAAAAGUAGAGACUGGUAUGUGAAGAGCCUUGACAGUGACAAGAAGUCACCUAUAUUUGGUAAGAAAGGCAGGGAAAGAAAGAAGCCAUGUGGUAUUACAAAGACUGAAGUCACCUAAGCUGCAAUACGAGAAAGGAAUAUUUUGCAGCCACAAAGCAGGAAUGGAAAGAGCUGAUCUAAACUCCUGCUUGCCAGAGUCACAGAUAGUGAUGGUGUGAUGAAAGUGUGGGAUUUUAAGAAAUCAAAUAUGUUUUUUCUAACAGCCACAUCCUUGAGAAAGAGAAAACAGACAAUGAGAUGGUCAAUUCAAUAUUAGAGAUUGAGAGUCUGUGAGGCAGGUAAGCAUAAAGAAAGGAAAGGAGGGAAAGUCUGCCGAAAUAGAGGGAUGGCUCAAAACCUCCUGAAGAGAUGUGAGAGACACAGAACAAGACAUCAUUUUUGAGAAUGAAAUUGGCCUAGAGUAGUCUGUGG